AGCCAAAUGGGAUAAUCCAUUAUCCCGUGCGGUCGACUUAAUGGGACUGCACGGGAUAAUCGAUUAUCCUGUGCGGUU
rnacentral:pre_miRNA from 11 species